UCAAUUAACAGUGUGUUGAUUGGACUCA
rnacentral:piRNA from 1 species